rnacentral:rRNA from 1 species
GAUGAACGCUGGCGGCGUGCCUAAUACAUGCAAGUCGAGCGAACAGACGAGGAGCUUGCUCCUCUGACGUUAGCGGCGGACGGGUGAGUAACACGUGGAUAACCUACCUAUAAGACUGGGAUAACUUCGGGAAACCGGAGCUAAUACCGGAUAAUAUAUUGAACCGCAUGGUUAAUAGUGAAAGACGGUUUUGCUGUCACUUAUAGAUGGAUCCGCGCCGCAUUAGCUAGUUGGUAAGGUAACGGCUUACCAAGGCAACGAUGCGUAGCCGACCUGAGAGGGUGAUCGGCCACACUGGAACUGAGACACGGUCCAGACUCCUACGGGAGGCAGCAGUAGGGAAUCUUCCGCAAUGGGCGAAAGCCUGACGGAGCAACGCCGCGUGAGUGAUGAAGGUCUUCGGAUCGUAAAACUCUGUUAUUAGGGAAGAACAAAUGUGUAAGUAACUAUGCACGUCUUGACGGUACCUAAUCAGAAAGCCACGGCUAACUACGUG